CGGGAAUAGCUCAAAUUUGAAAGCUGGCAGAAAUGUCCGCGUUGUAAUCUCGAGAAGUGUUUUCCGUGCUGGACCAUAGAUAUGUUCCUUGGAAUAGGAUAUCAUAGAGGGUGAGAAUCCCGUACAUGCUAUGGACGCCCAGUGCUUUGUGAUACAUUUUCGAA
rnacentral:rRNA from 1 species